rnacentral:rRNA from 1 species
UUACGGGAGGCAGCAGUGGGGAAUUUUCCGCAAUGGGCGAAAGCCUGACGGAGCAAUACCGCGUGAGGGAAGACGGCCUAUGGGUUGUAAACCUCUUUUUUCAGGGAGGAACAAAAUGACGUGUACCUGAAGAAUAAGCAUCGGCUAACUCCGUGCCAGCAGCCGCGGUAAGACGGAGGAUGCAAGUGUUAUCCGGAAUCACUGGGCGUAAAGCGUCUGUAGGUGGUUUGUUAAGUCAACUGUUAAAUCUUGAGGCUCAACUUCAAAUCAGCAGUCGAAACUAUCAGACUAGAGUAUAGUAGGGGUAAAGGGAAUUUCCAGUGGAGCGGUGAAAUGCGUAGAUAUUGGAAAGAACACCGAUGGCGAAGGCACUUUACUGGGCUAUUACUAACACUCAGAGACGAAAGCUAGGGUAGCAAAUGGGAUUAGAUACCCUGGUAGU